rnacentral:rRNA from 1 species
UACGUAGGGUGCAAGCGUUGUCCGGAAUUAUUGGGCGUAAAGAGCUCGUAGGCGGUUUGUCGCGUCUGCUGUGAAAACGCGGGGCUCAACUCCGCGCCUGCAGUGGGUACGGGCAGACUAGAGUGCAGUAGGGGAGACUGGAAUUCCUGGUGUAGCGGUGGAAUGCGCAGAUAUCAGGAGGAACACCGGUGGCGAAGGCGGGUCUCUGGGCUGUAACUGACGCUGAGGAGCGAAAGCAUGGGGAGCGAACAGG